GAUGAACGCUGGCGGCGUGCCUAACACAUGCAAGUCGAACGGAGAUUACGGACGGAAGUUUUCGGAUGGAAGACUGUAAUUCUUAGUGGCGGACGGGUGAGUAACGCGUGGGCAACCUGCCCUAUACAGGGGGAUAGCAGCUGGAAACGGCUGGUAAGACCGCAUAAGUCGGCGAGACCGCAUGGUUUUGCCGGGAAAUGAGCAAUCAGGUAUAGGAUGGGCCCGCGUCCGAUUAGCCAGUUGGCAGGGUAAAAGCCUACCAAAGCAACGAUCGGUAGCCGGGCUGAGAGGUCGGACGGCCACAUUGGGACUGAGACACGGCCCAAACUCCUACGGGAGGCAGCAGUGGGGGAUAUUGCACAAUGGAGGAAACUCUGAUGCAGCGACGCCGCGUGAGUGAAGAAGUAUUUCGGUAUGUAAAGCUCUAUCAGCAGGGAAGAUGAUGACGGUACCUGACUAAGAAGCCCCGGCUAACUACGUG
rnacentral:rRNA from 1 species